rnacentral:lncRNA from 1 species
CAAACUACUACACACACUACUGCACACUGCUACACAACUACACACUACUACUGCACACUACUACACACUACUACACAACUACUACACACUCUACUGCACACUGCUACACAAAUACACACUACUACUGCACACUACUACACAACUACACUCUACUACACAACUACACAUUACUACACAACUACUACACAACUACUGCAAACUACACACUACUACACAACUACACACUACUACUGCACACUACUACACAACUACUACAAACUACACACUACUACUAUACACUACUACACAACUACACACUACUACUGAACGCUACUACACAGCUUCUACACAACUACACACUACUACUGCACACUACUACACAACUACACACUACUGCACACUGCUACACAAAUACACACUACUACUGCACACUACUACACACUCUACUGCACACUACUACACAACUACACACUACUACUGCACACUACUACACAACUACACACUACUACACUCUACUGCACACUACUACACAACUACACUCUACUACACAACUACACAUUACUACACAACUACACACUACUACACAACUACUGCAAACUACACACUCUACACACUACUACACAACUACACACUACUACACAACUACUACACAACUACUACACACACUACUGCACACUGCUACACAAAUACACACUACUACUGCACACUACUACACACUACUACACAACUACUACACACUCUACUGCACACUACUACACAACUACACACUACUACUGCACACUACUACACAACUACACACUACUACACAACUACACUCUACUACACAACUACACAUUACUACACAACUACUACACAACUACUGCAAACUACACACUACUACACAACUACACACUACUACUGCACACUACUACACAACUACUACACAACUACACACUACUACUAUACACUACUACACAACUACACACUACUACUGAACGCUACUACACAGCUUCUACACAACUACACACUACUACUGCACACUACUACACAACUACACACUACUGCACACUGCUACACAAAUACACACUACUACUGCACACUACUACACACUACUACACAACUACACACUACUACACAACUACUACACACUCUACUGCACACUACUACACAACUACACACUACUACUGCACACUACUACACAACUACACACUACUACACUCUACUGCACACUACUACACAACUACACUCUACUACACAACUACACAUUACUACACAACUACUACACAACUACUGCAAACUACACACUCUACACACUACUACACAACUACACACUACUACACAACUACUACACAACUACUACACACACUACUGCACACUGCUACACAAAUACACACUACUACUGCACACUACUACACACUACUACACAACUACUACACACUCUACUGCACACUACUACACAACUACACACUACUACUGCACACUACUACACAACUACACACUACUACACAACUACACUCUACUACACAACUACACAUUACUACACAACUACUACACAACUACUGCAAACUACACACUACUACACAACUACACACUACUACUGCACACUACUACACAACUACUACACAACUACACACUACUACUAUACACUACUACACAACUACACACUACUACUGAACGCUACUACACAGCUUCUACACAACUACACACUACUACUGCACACUACUACACAACUACACACUACUGCACACUGCUACACAAAUACACACUACUACUGCACACUACUACACACUACUACACAACUACACACUACUACACAACUACUACACACUCUACUGCACACUACUACACAACUACACACUACUACUGCACACUACUACACAACUACACACUACUACACUCUACUGCACACUACUACACAACUACACAUUACUACACAACUACUACACAACUACUGCAAACUACACACUCUACACACUACUACACAACUACACACUACUACUGCACACUACUACACAACUACUACACAACUACACACUACUACUGCACACUACUACACAACUACACACUACUACUGAACGCUACUACACAGCUUCUACACAACUACACACUACUACUGCACACUACUACACAACUACACACUACUACUGCACACUACUACUCAACUACUACACAACUACACACUACUACUGCACACUACUACACAACUACACACUACUACUGAACGCUACUACACACUACUACUGCACACUAGUACACACUACUACACAACUACACACUACUGCACACUACACACUACUACACAACUACUGCACACAACACACUCUACACACUACUACACAACUACACACUACUGCACAACUACACACUACUACUACUACUACACACUACUGCACACUACUACUACUACUACAUACUACUGUACACUACAAGGUGUUAGUAACCUAGCGGGUAACACACUUGCCUAUUAACCAGAAGACCCAGGUUCAAACCCCACUUACUACCAUUGUGUCCCUGAGCAAGACACUUAACCCUGAGUGUCUCCAGGGGGGGACUGUCCCCUGUAACUACUGACUGUAAGUCGCUCUGGAUAAGGACGUCUGGUAAAUGCUGUAAAUGUAAAUGUAAA